rnacentral:tRNA from 1 species
GCUUUUAUAGGAUAAUUCGCUAUCCGUCGGUCUUAGGAACCGAAGAUUCUUGGUUCAAAUCCAAGUAGAAGCU